UGGGGGAUAUUGCGCAAUGGGGGCAACCCUGACGCAGCAACGCCGCGUGAAGGAAGAAGGUUUUCGGAUCGUAAACUUCUUUAAGUGUGGAAGAAGAUGACGGUACACACAGAAUAAGCCACGGCUAACUACGUGCCAGCAGCCGCGGUAAUACGUAGGUGGCGAGCGUUGUCCGGAUUUACUGGGUGUAAAGGGCGUGUAGGCGGGACUACAAGUCAGAUGUGAAAUACCGGGGCUUAACUCCGGGGCUGCAUUUGAAACUGUAGUUCUUGAGUGCCGGAGAGGAAAGCGGAAUUCCUAGUGUAGCGGUGAAAUGCGUAGAUAUUAGGAGGAACACCAGUGGCGAAGGCGGCUUUCUGGACGGUAACUGACGCUGAGGCGCGAAAGUGUGGGGAGCAAACAGG
rnacentral:rRNA from 1 species